UGUUCAAUACAAAGCAGAGUAUUAAAAUAAAACAUGUUGAUGCGUUAUCACGAAAACGGUUACAUCCACUAUCUCGCAGGUGGUAAGAGCUAAAAACGAGGACUUAAGAGAACUUUUAUAAAAUUGGUGAAUGGAAAAAAUCCAUAUUAUAUUUUGAUCAUCAUGG